rnacentral:rRNA from 1 species
GACGAACGCUGGCGGCGUGCUUAACACAUGCAAGUCGAACGGAAAGGCCCUGCUUUUGUGGGGUGCUCGAGUGGCGAACGGGUGAGUAACACGUGAGUAACCUGCCCUUGACUUUGGGAUAACUUCAGGAAACUGGGGCUAAUCCCGGAUAGGAGCUCCUGCUGCAUGGUGGGGGUUGGAAAGUUUCGGCGGUUGGGGAUGGACUCGCGGCUGAUCAGCUUGUUGGUGGGGUAGUGGCUUACCAAGGCUUUGACGGGUAGCCGGCCUGGGAGGGUGACCGGCCACGUUGGGACUGAAAUACGGCCCAGACUCCUACGGGAGGCAGCAGUGGGGAAUAUUGCACAAUGGGCGGAAGCCUGAUGCAGCAACGCCGCGUGCGGGAUGACGGCCUUCGGGUUGUAAACCGCUUUCGCCUGUGACGAAGCGUGAGUGACGGUAAUGGGUAAAGAAGCACCGGCUAACUACGUG